rnacentral:rRNA from 1 species
AUUGAACGCUGGCGGCAUGCCUUACACAUGCAAGUCGAACGGUAACAGGUUAAGCUGACGAGUGGCGAACGGGUGAGUAAUGUAUCGGAACGUGCCCAGUCGUGGGGGAUAACUGCUCGAAAGAGCAGCUAAUACCGCAUACGACCUGAGGGUGAAAGCGGGGGAUCGCAAGACCUCGCGCGAUUGGAGCGGCCGAUAUCAGAUUAGGUAGUUGGUGGGGUAAAGGCCUACCAAGCCUACGAUCUGUAGCUGGUCUGAGAGGACGACCAGCCACACUGGGACUGAGACACGGCCCAGACUCCUACGGGAGGCAGCAGUGGGGAAUUUUGGACAAUGGAUGCAAGUCUGAUCCAGCCAUGCCGCGUGCGGGAAGAAGGCCUUCGGGUUGUAAACCGCUUUUGUCAGGGAAGAAAAGGUUCUGGUUAAUACCUGGGACUCAUGACGGUACCUGAAGAAUAAGCACCGGCUAACUACGUGCCAGCCGCCGCGGUAACAC